ACUCCUACGGGAGGCAGCAGUGGGAAUGAUUGGACGAAUGGGGAACCCUGAUCCAGCCAUGCCGCGUGUGUGAAGAAGGCCUUCGGGUUGUAAAGCACUUUCAGUGGGGAGGAAAGGUUGAUGGUUAAUACCUAUCAGCUGUGACGUUACCCACAGAAGAAGCACCGGCUAACUCCGUGCCAGCAGCCGCGGUAAUACGGAGGGUGCAAGCGUUAAUCGGAAUUACUGGGCGUAAAGCGUGCGCAGGCGGUCUGUUAAGCGAGAUGUGAAAGCCCCGGGCUCAACCUGGGAACUGCAUUUCGAACUGGCAGACUAGAGUCUUGUAGAGGGGGUAGAAUUCCAGGUGUAGCGGUGAAAUGCGUAGAGAUCUGGAGGAAUACCGGUGGCGAAGGCGGCCCCCUGGACAAAGACUGACGCUCAGG
rnacentral:rRNA from 1 species